rnacentral:rRNA from 1 species
GACGAACGCUGGCGGCGUGCCUAAUACAUGCAAGUCGAGCGAAGCGGCGGAUGGGUGAGAAACGCGUGGGUAACCAGCACUUAAGUCUGGGAUAGAAUUGGGAAACAGAAGCUAAUACCGGAUAAUAAAGGAUGGACCUGCGAUGCAUUAGCUAGUUGGGAAGUUAACGGCUUACCAAGGCGAUGAUGCAUAGCCGAGUUGUGAGACUGAUCGGCCACAUUGGGACUGAGACACGGCCCAAACUCCUCCGGGAGGCAGCAGUAGGGAAUCUUCCACAAUGGACGAAAGUCUGAGAGAGCAACGCCGCGUGAGUGAAGAAGGUUUUCGGAUCGUAAAGCUCUUUUGUUGGUGAAGCGGUAAUCAACCAGAAAGCCACGGCUAACUCCGUGCCAGCAGCCGCGGUAAUUC